GACGAACGCUGGCGGCGUGCUUAACACAUGCAAGUCGAACGGAAAGGCCCUGCUUUUGUGGGGUGCUCGAGUGGCGAACGGGUGAGUAACACGUGAGUAACCUGCCCUUGAGUUUGGGAUAACUUCAGGAAACUGGGGCUAAUACCGGAUAGGAGCUCCUGCUGCAUGGUGGGGGUUGGAAAGUUUCGGCGGUUGGGGAUGGACUCGCGGCUUAUCAGCUUGUUGGUGGGGUAGUGGCUUACCAAGGCUUUGACGGGUAGCCGGCCUGAGAGGGUGACCGGCCACAUUGGGACUGAGAUACGGCCCAGACUCCUACGGGAGGCAGCAGUGGGGAAUAUUGCACAAUGGGCGGAAGCCUGAUGCAGCAACGCCGCGUGCGGGAUGACGGCCUUCGGGUUGUAAACCGAUUUCGCCUGUGACGAAGCGUGAGUGACGGUAAUGGGUAAAGAAGCACCGGCUAACUACGUG
rnacentral:rRNA from 1 species